rnacentral:rRNA from 1 species
UACGUAGGGUGCAAGCGUUAAUCGGAAUUACUGGGCGUAAAGCGUGCGCAGGCGGCUUUGCAAGACAGAUGUGAAAUCCCCGGGCUUAACCUGGGAACUGCAUUUGUGACUGCAUGGCUGGAGUGUGGCAGAGGGGGAUGGAAUUCCGCGUGUAGCAGUGAAAUGCGUAGAUAUGCGGAGGAACACCGAUGGCGAAGGCAAUCCCCUGGGCCUGCACUGACGCUCAUGCACGAAAGCGUGGGGAGCAAGCAGG